rnacentral:rRNA from 1 species
AACGUAGGUGGCAAGCGUUAUCCGGAUUUACUGGGCGUAAAGGGUGUGCAGGCGGGGUUGCAAGUGGUGUUUGAAAUCUCCCGGCUUAACCGGGAGGGGUUAUGCCAGACUGCAAUUCUAGAGGACGAGAGAGGGGGGUGGAAUUCCGGGUGUAGUGGUGAAAUGCGUAGAGAUCCGGAGGAACCCCAGAGGCGAAGGCGGCCCCCUGGCUCGUACCUGACGCUCAGCCACGAAAGCAUGGGGAGCGAACGGG